rnacentral:rRNA from 1 species
ACGGAAGGCAGCAGUGGGGGAUAUUGCACAAUGGGGGAAACCCUGAUGCAGCGACGCCGCGUGAGUGAUGAAGUAUUUCGGUAUGUAAAGCUCUAUCAGCAGGGAAGAUAAUGACGGUACCUGACUAAGAAGCACCGGCUAAAUACGUGCCAGCAGCCGCGGUAAUACGUAUGGUGCAAGCGUUAUCCGGAUUUACUGGGUGUAAAGGGAGCGUAGACGGCAAGGCAAGCCAGAUGUGAAAGGCUGGGGCUCAACCCCGGGACUGCAUUUGGAACUGUCUAGCUAGAGUAUCGGAGAGGUAAGUGGAAUUCCUAGUGUAGCGGUGAAAUGCGUAGAUAUUAGGAGGAACACCAGUGGCGAAGGCGGCUUACUGGACGAUAACUGACGUUGGGGCUCGAAAGCGUGGGGAGCAAACAGGAUUAGAUACCCUGGUA